UAUUCUGCCCCAUGGGGAAGGAUGAGAAGCUUCGACUAAGGUUCGACUAAGGUUCGACUCGAGCGAAGCGAGAGAACGUUGCCGCAGGCAACGGCCCGAAGGGCGAGGCGCUUUAGCGCCGAGUAAUCCUUCCCCCACCACCA
rnacentral:sRNA from 1 species